rnacentral:misc_RNA from 1 species
UUUCCGUAGGUGAACCUGCGGAAGGAUCAUUAUUGUAUAACCGAGGUGCGAGGGCUGUCGCUGACCCGAAAGGUCGUGCACGCCCGAGUGCCCUCACACACAUCCAUCUCACCCCUAUGUGCACCACCGGGUGGGUCCCCCUUUGGCUUGUUCGGAGGGGGGCUUACGUUUUCACACAAACUUUGUAUGCAGUGUAGAAUGUAUUUUUUGUUUUUGCGAUCACGCAAUCAAUACAACUUUCAACAACGGAUCUCUUGGCUCUC